AAAAGUCGUAACAAGGUUUCCGUAGGUGAACCUGCGGAAGGAUCAUUAUUGAAAUAAACCUGAUGAGUUGCUGCUGGCUCUCUAGGGAGCAUGUGCACACUUGUCAUCUUUAUAUCUCCACCUGUGCACCUUUUGUAGACCUGGAUAUCUCUCUGAGUGCUUAGCACUUCAGGUUUGAGGAUUGACUUUAUUGUUCUCUCUUUAUAUUUCCAGGCCUAUGUUUCUUCAUAUACCCCAUUGUAUGUUAUAGAAUGUAGUAAAUAGGCCUUUGUGCCUAUAAACCUAUACAACUUUCAGCAACGGAUCUCUUGGCUCUCGCAUCGAUGAAGAACGCAGCGAAAUGCGUUAAGUAAUGUGAAUUGCAGAAUUCAGUGAAUCAUCGAAUCUUUGAACGCACCUUGCGCUCCUUGGUAUUCCGAGGAGCAUGCCUGUUUGAGUGUCAUUAAUAUAUCAACCUCUUCAACUUUGUUGAGUGUUGGAUGUGGGGGUUUUUUUUUGCUGGCCUCUCUCUCUGAGUUCAGCUCCCCUGAAAUACAUUAGCGGAACAAUUUGUUCAUUUGGCGUGAUAAUUAUCUAUGCUAUUGACAUGAAGCAGUUCAGCUUAUAACUGUCCAUUGACUUGGACAAUUUUAUUAUUAAUGUGACCUCAAAUCAGGUAGGACUACCCGCUGAACUUAAGCAUAUCAAUAAGCGGAGGAAAAGAAACUAACAAGGAUUCCC
rnacentral:rRNA from 1 species